rnacentral:rRNA from 1 species
GCUAACUGCAGUCGAGCGGACAGAUGGGGUUGCUCCCUGAUGUUAGCGGGGGACGGGGGAGUAACACGUGGGUAACCUGCCUGUAAGACUGGGAUAACUCCGGGAAACCGGGGCUAAUACCGGAUGGUUGUUUGAACCGCAUGGGUCGACAUAAAAGGUGGCUUCGGCUACCACUUACAGAUGGACCCGCGGCGCAUUAGCUAGUUGGUGAGGUAACGGCUCACCAAGGCGACGAUGCGUAGCCGACCUGAGAGGGUGAUCGGCCACACUGGGACUGAGACACGGCCCAGACUCCUACGGGAGGCAGCAGUAGGGAAUCUUCCGCAAUGGACGAAAGUCUGACGGAGCAACGCCGCGUGAGUGAUGAAGGUUUUCGGAUCGUAAAGCUCUGUUGUUAGGGAAGAACAAGUGCCGUUCAAAUAGGGCGGCACCUUGACGGUACCUAACCAGAAAGCCACGGCUAACUACUGCCAGCAGCCGCGGUAAUACGUAGGUGGAAGCGUUGUCCGGAAUUAUUGGGCGUAAAGGGCUCAGGCGGUUUCUUAAGUCUGAUGUGAAAGCCCCCGGCUCAACCGGGGAGGGCAUUGGAAACUGGGGAACUUGAGUGCAGAAGAGGAGAGUGAAUUCCACAUGUAGCGGAAAUGCAAUGUGGAGGAACACCAGUGGCGAAGCCACUCUCUGGCUGUAACUGACGCUGAGAGCGAAAGCGUGGGGAGCGAACAGGAUAGAUACCCUGGUAGUCCACGCCGGAACAUGAGGCUAAGUGUAGGGGUUUCCGCCCCUUAUGCUGCAGCUAACGCAUUGCACUCCGCUGGAGUAGUCGCAGACUGCUCAAAUGACGGGGGCCGCACAGCGGGAUGUAGAACUACUAUCUGCAUCUACCGAGCGGGCACCGACACCGAGAUUCCUUGG